rnacentral:misc_RNA from 1 species
GGUAGUAAAAGUCGUAACAAGGUUUCCGUAGGUGAACCUGCGGAAGGAUCAUUAUCGUACAAAAUGUGAGGGGCAUGCGAGGGCUGUCGCUGACCCGAAAGUCGUGCACGCCCGAGUGUGUCCUCUUGCAUAAUAAUCCAUCUCACCCUUUGUGCAUCACCGCGUGGGCACCCUUCGGGAUCAUCUCGGAGGGGGGCUCGCGUUUUCACACAAACCCUCCUUUUAAAAGUGUAGAAUGACCACAUUUAUGCAAUCAAUACAACUUUCAACAACGGAUCUCUUGGCUCUC